rnacentral:lncRNA from 1 species
CUCCAUUCUUCUCAGGGACGGUUGACUGGGGGCUCCGUACGCCAAGCACUUCUGACAAGCUUCUCAAAAACUCCAUAACAUCUUUGUCCUUCUUCUGAGCAGCACUUUACUACACACUGGGGUGUGGGGGAAAUAGCAAGGGUGAGUUCAUGUCGAACUCAACAAGUACAGGCGGAAAGUAUAAUGACAUGCAAGGCUUAAUCAAAGGAAAAGCUGACACUGUUUGACUGCAGGUGAGCUUUUAAGUUGAUAAACUUUUAUUACAACUCUAUUAUUAAAACAACCUAUUACUAAAUAUGGGUAAAGCAUCCCAACCCUUAAUUAGGUGAAAGUAAAUUAGCAUCUUUUAAAAGACUAUCCUAAUCAUCAUAGUAAUCCAGGGAUUAACUCCAAUUAUUAACACAGGAUAGCAAUCCUGCCAACACGGAAUAGCCAUUCCGCCAAAACACGAGGUAGCAACCUCGCCAAGGUCCAUCUCCAAGUAUCCAGUGAAUCCAAUUUGCUCAUCAAGUGAGGGUCUGGGCCGCUCGUGACCGUGAGCACGGCUGAUAUAUCAGUUUUACACUCUGUAGAGGUGUGCACGUUCACUCCAAGUCGUGAUUCCCAUUCGCCCGGGGUCGCGACUCCCCAAAACACUACCAAGGUGAGCAGGCAGGGUUUCACUACGAGACCUUUCACAGGGUCCAACUAAUAGGAUGCCACUCGUAAGUUUUUGCCGGGGCGCGCGGCAGUCGUGCCCAUAGCAAUGGGACCCCGAACUGACCGACCUCUUAAUAUGAAUACCCAAGCUACAUUCCUUACGCCUACCCGGAAAGUAACACCCUACCAGCGGAGGUCCUGAUAAUUAGUCAAGCCAGAGCCCAUAUAGCUUGGAGCUGCACUGUAAGUCUCAGGGGGCCGCUCCCUGACUAAGUCCUUACGGAGAGCAGAGACGGGUACGCCCGGCAAACCGGACCACCAACAGUACCCGCUCCCCCUGUCCUCAACCAAAACACGAUGCUCGCAAGCACCGCAACAUCUCCAUCACCGAAGUGACCAUUGUUCACCAUUUAAUCAUUAAUCAUCAUUGAAGAAUUUAUUAAGCAAGAUCAUUAUUUUUAUUAUUAUAUAGAUUAGAUGAGUAGAGCAACUAAGCAUAUCUACUGUUCACUAUACUACCCAUGUAUAAACCCAGGCAUACAAGGAAUAUAGUAGAAGACUAGUCAUGUCCUUAGGGUUUGCAAUAUUAAGACACAUGCAAUGGAAAGUAAAUGUAUUUAAAGUUCAUAGGUACAAUAUGAUCAAAGGGUGCCUGCACUUGCCUUUAUUCCCAGUGUAUAUCUGCUCAAAAUUCUUUGACUUCUUUCUUCUGAUCUCCAACUUCUGCUUCGACUGUCGGUCCUCAGCUCCUGAUCUUCACUGUUGAUGAACCACGCUUCUACUCGUAGCAACCAAGCAACACAAACAGACAAACAAACAAUCAUGACUAAGAACAAACGACAAUCAAAAGAGAAGCUUAGAAAGAGCGCUCUAACGAUACGACUUAUUGCUACGAUCGAGACAACGUAAGAACGUUUAAGAACGGAGCUAUAGUUUAUCGGACACGACUUUCGAGGUUCGAAGCGCAACGAAGAAGACCAACUAUUCGCUUGAUCUAUUUUAUUUGAUGAAGAGAGGUGAUAGACUUUUUAGAGAAACAACUCAAAAAGUGGAAUUAAACAAAUUAUAAUUAUAAAAAGAUGAAGUAUAGUUCUAGUCAUACUCUAUUUAUAAAUAAUUAUAGAAAUUAUUUAAACUAUUUUAGCAUUCAUAGCUUAGAGAAUAUAAAAUGAGUGAUAGCAACUUAAUUAGAAUCACUAUUUAUUUUCAAAGUUAAACGGAGCAAGUCAUAACUAACACGGCAUUUAUGUUGAUAUUAUAUAAUUAAUAUGAUUUAUGAAAGAUCGGAGAUAAACCUAAACUACUUCAAAUUCAAAAAGACAUUGAAUAACUACUAAUUAAAUUCAUUUAAAACAACUUUAUAUGAUCAUAUUUGAACAAGACAAAUUAGUAAUUGAUAAAUACACAUUUAAGUUGACAAGUAAUUAUAAAAAGGUCAAUAUUUUCAUAUGUUACAUUUAUUUAGAAACAAAUAUGUGCAAUCAUUAAUCAAAUUAUGUUGAAUUAUAAAAACCAGAGUUAAACUUUAGUUAUAUUUUAAUUGUAGAUGAUUAUAUAUCAUUUAAGCCAUUUACGUCUUUGUAAUUUUAGAAACAUAAAGCAAGUAAGAGCAGCUAAUCAAAUCCUAACAUGCGUCGCAUUUAUAUUAAACAAGUUAUAACUAAUAAAGAACCAUUUAAGUUGAUAUUAAUAAUGUUAACAUUUAUUUAUUUAUAAAAGAUCUAAAUUAUAAACAUAAGUUACUUUUAAUCUAGAAAGACAUUAAAUAAAUAUUAAACAAAUUAAUUAUAUACUUUAUGUCUAACUAAAAGAAUUAUAAUUAAUAAAUAUUUAAGUUAACAUUAAUCAAGUUAAUAUUAGAUUAUAAAAAUACCAAAGUGUAAACCUAAAUUGUUUUUUUAUUAAUAAAAAAUGAUACUCAAUAAAAAUUAAUUAAACUAAUUAUAUUUAUAAACAUGGGACAUGGAAAACAGUAUCGCUAACAAGUCAUUUACGUUGCCAUGGUCAUAAAACAAUAGAAAUCAUGAUUACAACUCUAUAUUGCUUUUAAUUAUAGAUUUAGGUGCAUAUAUUAAUUAAUCUAAUAUUCAACUAAAUAUAUAUAAAAAUAUAUGACAUAAUAAAAGUUAGCACUACUGCGUAGAGCGCGACGUUACGAAACUAACGCAAUUGAAACGGAACAAAACGAAGUUAAAAUGAAUAAACUAUUGCUAUUUUUAUUCAGUGGCAAAAUCGUAAUUAACACCUUCUUCUACCUUUGGUCAUCUGGAUCACGUACGCACCAUCUGGUGCUUGUGCAGGGAAGCAGAGGGGCGCCGGCUUGG